UGUAGCGCAAUGGAUAGCGCGCUGGACUUCUAAUUCAAAGGUCGUGGAUUCGAAUCCCACCUUGAAAG
rnacentral:tRNA from 1 species